GUCGAAAUCAAAAGUAAACGGAUGUGGAUACUCUUCAUCAUCAUCGUCAACGACGGUAGCAUAGAUGGUAGACGGGAGGUGGAAACGGUAGAUUCCAGAAACUUCCGCCAUUGAAUUGAAAAAACAAAGUGAUGAUUCAAACUUCAAAGUUCAAACUUGAGAGAAAAUGAGAGUUGCCAUCGAUCCAAUUUUGCUGGUUUCACAA
rnacentral:misc_RNA from 1 species